rnacentral:rRNA from 1 species
UGGGGAAUCUUGCGCAAUGGGCGAAAGCCUGACGCAGCAACGCCGCGUGAGGGACGAAGGCCUUCGGGUUGUAAACCUCUUUCAGCAGGGACGAUUGUGACGGUACCUGCAGAAGAAGCCCCGGCCAACUACGUGCCAGCAGCCGCGGUAAUACGUAGGGGGCGAGCGUUGUCCGGAUUCAUUGGGCGUAAAGAGCUCGUAGGCGGCUUGGUAAGUCGGGUGUGAAACCUCCAGGCUCAACCUGGAGACGCCACUCGAUACUGCCAUGGCUAGAGUCCGGUAGGGGCCCACGGAAUUCCUGGUGUAGCGGUGAAAUGCGCAGAUAUCAGGAGGAACACCGGUGGCGAAGGCGGUGGGCUGGGCCGGAACUGACGCUGAGGAGCGAAAGCGUGGGGAGCGAACAG